rnacentral:ncRNA from 1 species
GUGUUGUACGAAAGGAGAGAAGGUUAGCACUCCCCUUGACAAGGGUGAUGAUUAUGUUUAU